GCCAAAGUGGCGGAAUUGGCAGACGCGCUGGACUCAAAAUCCAGUCCGGCUUUAAACCGGGUGAGGGUUCGACUCCCUCCUUUGGCA
rnacentral:tRNA from 1 species